rnacentral:rRNA from 1 species
UACGUAGGGGGCGAGCGUUGUCCGGAGUUACUGGGCGUAAAGGGCAUGCAGGCGGUCGGGCGCGUUUCGGGUGACAGCGGGUGGCUUAACUACCCGAGUGGUCGAAAGACGGUUUGACUUGAGGACGCGAGAGGGACACGGAAUUCCGGGUGGAGUGGUGAAAUGCGUAGAGAUCCGGAGGAACACCGCAGGCGAAGGCAGUGUCCUGGCGCGUAACUGACGCUGAGGUGCGAAAGCCAGGGGAGCGAACGGG